GACGAACACUGGCGGCGUGCUUAACACAUGCAAGUCGAACGGUAAGGCCCUUCGGGGUACACGAGUGGCGAACGGGUGAGUAACACGUGGGUGAUCUGCCCUGCACUUCGGGAUAAGCCUGGGAAACUGGGUCUAAUACCGGAUAGGACCACUGCCCGCAUGGGUGGUGGUGGAAAGCUUUUGCGGUGUGGGAUGGGCCCGCGGCCUAUCAGCUUGUUGGUGGGGUGAUGGCCUACCAAGGCGACGACGGGUAGCCGGCCUGAGAGGGUGACCGGCCACACUGGGACUGAGAUACGGCCCAGACUCCUACGGGAGGCAGCAGUGGGGAAUAUUGCACAAUGGGCGCAAGCCUGAUGCAGCGACGCCGCGUGAGGGAUGACGGCCUUCGGGUUGUAAACCUCUUUCAGCACCGACGAAGCGCAAGUGACGGUAGGUGCAGAAGAAGGACCGGCCAACUACGUGCCAGCAGCCGCCGUAA
rnacentral:rRNA from 1 species